UCCCGUGUAGUGAAAUGGCAUCACAACAGAUUCUGACUCUGUUAUUUGGGGUUCGAAUCCCUGCACGGGAU
rnacentral:tRNA from 1 species